rnacentral:rRNA from 1 species
AACGAACGCUGGCGGCAUGCCUAACACAUGCAAGUCGAACGAGACCUUCGGGUCUAGUGGCGCACGGGUGCGUAACGCGUGGGAACCUGCCCUUAGGUUCGGAAUAACUCCCCGAAAGGGGUGCUAAUACCGGAUAAUGUCUUCGGACCAAAGAUUUAUCGCCUUUGGAUGGGCCCGCGUUGGAUUAGCUAGUUGGUAGGGUAAAAGCCUACCAAGGCGACGAUCCAUAGCUGGUCUGAGAGGAUGAUCAGCCACACUGGGACUGAGACACGGCCCAGACUCCUACGGGAGGCAGCAGUGGGGAAUAUUGGACAAUGGGCGAAAGCCUGCUCCAGCAAUGCCGCGUGAGUGAUGAAGGCCUUAGGGUUGUAAAGCUCUUUUACCCGGGAUGAUAAUGACAGUACCGGGAGAAUAAGCUCCGGCUAACUCCGUG